rnacentral:RNase_P_RNA from 1 species
GCGAGCUGACAGGGUAGCUUCGCCCUUGUUCCAAAACAAGGGUGAGGAAGUUCCCUCCAUCGAGAGCGCUUCGAAAGAAGCAGGCCGAGAGGUCUUCGUCAGGAUCAGAAACGACACCCUUUAGCUUCGCUAACUAUGAGUGAAAAAUGAGUUGAAGCUAAAGGGAUGAAACGGCCUGACGAGCUCGAUGAGAUGCAAGCCCUAGAGCGCUUAGACAAAUGCUACCUUAAACAGAAGAGGGGCUACUGUCAGCACGC